UUAACGAGGUCCGAUUGCAUAGACAGCUAGGAUGUUGGCUUGGAAGCAGCCAUUCAUUUAAAGAGUGCGUAACAGCUCACUAGUCGAGCGAUCGGGCAUGGAUAAUAAACGGGCAUUAAACUGUACACCGAAGCUAUGGGUAAUAUUAAUAUUACGGUAGGGGAGCAUUCCAGCGGCAGCGAAGUUAUGACGUAAGUUGUGGUGGAGCUUCUGGAAAAGCAAAUGUAGGCAUAAGUAACGAUAAGGCAGGCGAGAAACCUGCCCGCCGAAAGGAUAAGGUUUCCUGAUCAACGCUAAUCGGAUCAGGGUUAGUCGGGGCCUAAGGAGAACCCGAAGGGGAUAUUCGAUGGACAACGGGUUAAUAAUCCCGUACUUUUUAUAACUGCGAUGUGGGGACGGAGUAGUGACAUUGCCGCGAUCUGACGGAAUAGAUCGUUGAAGGCUGUAGGUAUUGGACUGGUAGGCAAAUCCGCCGGUCUAGCUGAACGCUGAUAGUACUGCAAACCUUCGGGGGCGUAGAUAGUGCAGGUAAUCAGACUUCCAAGAAAAACCGCUAAGCUUCAGGUUAUAAAAACCCGUACCGCAAACCGACACAGGUAUCCGGGAAGAGAAUUCUAAGGCGCUCGAGUGAAUCAUGGCUAAGGAACUCGGCAAAAUGGCCCUGUAACUUCGGGAGAAGGGGCGCUGGUAGCAAUAUCAGCCGCAGUGAAAAGGCCCAGGCGACUGUUUAACAAAAACACAUGGCUUUGCAAAAUCGAAAGAUGAAGUAUAAGGCCUGACACCUGCCCGGUGCUGGAAGGUUAAGAGGGGAUGUCAUACGCAAGUAGAAGCAUUGAAUCGAAGCCCCAGUAAACGGCGGCCGUAUCUAUAACGGUCCUAAGGUAGCGAAAUUCCUUGUCGGGUAAGUUCCGACCUGCACGAAUGGUGUAACGAUCUGGGCGCUGUCUCAGCCAUGAGCUCGGUGAAAUUGUGGUCCCGGUGAAGACGCCGGGUACCCGCAACGGGACGGAAAGACCCCAUGCACCUUCACUACAAUUUAACAUUGACAUUGGAUACAAGAUGUGUAGGAUAGGUGGGAGACUAUGUAGUGGCAUCGCUAGGUGUUGUGGAGUCAACGUUGAAAUACCACCCUUUUUGUAUUCGGUGUCUAACCUGACCUAGUCAGGGACAUUGUUUGAUGGGUAGUUUGACUGGGGUGGUCGCCUCCAAAAAGGUAACGGAGGCUUUCAAAGGUAAGCUCAAUACGCUUGGUAACCGUAUGAGGAGUGCAAUAGCAUAAGCUUGCUUGACUGUGAGGCAGACAAGCCGAGCAGGGUCG
rnacentral:rRNA from 1 species